rnacentral:rRNA from 1 species
AUUGAACGCUGGCGGAAUGCUUUACACAUGCAAGUCGAACGGCAGCACGGGGGCAACCCUGGUGGCGAGUGGCGAACGGGUGAGUAAUACAUCGGAACGUGCCCAGUCGUGGGGGAUAACGUAGCGAAAGUUACGCUAAUACCGCAUACGAUCUACGGAUGAAAGCGGGGGACCGUAAGGCCUCGCGCGAUUGGAGCGGCCGAUGUCAGAUUAGGUAGUUGGUGAGGUAAAGGCUCACCAAGCCGACGAUCUGUAGCUGGUCUGAGAGGACGACCAGCCACACUGGGACUGAGACACGGCGCAGACUCCUACGGGAGGCAGCAGUGGGGAAUUUUGGACAAUGGGCGCAAGCCUGAUCCAGCCAUUCCGCGUGCAGGACGAAGGCCUUCGGGUUGUAAACUGCUUUUGUACGGAACGAAAAGGCUCUGGUUAAUACCUGGGGCUCAUGACGGUACCGUAAGAAUAAGCACCGGCUAACUACGUGCCAGCAGCCGCUGUAA